GAAGAAGACACCGGCGUAACUACGUGCCACGCAGCCGCGGUAGUACGUAGGGUGCGAGGCGUUAAUCGGAAUUACUGGGCGUAAAGCGUGCGCAGGCGGUUCCAUAAGACAGAUGUGAAAUCCCCGGGCUUAACCUGGGAACUGCGUUUGUGACUGUGGGACUCGAGUGUGGCAGAGGGGGGUGGAAUUCCACGUGUAGCAGUGAAAUGCGUAGAGAUGUGGAGGAACACCGAUGGCGAAGGCAGCCCCCUGGGUCAACACUGACGCUCAUGCACGAAAGCGUGGGGAGCAAACAGGAUUAGAUACCCUGGUAGUCCACGCCCUAAACGAUGCGAACUAGGUGUUGGGGAAGGAGACUUUCUUAGUACCGCAGCUAACGCGUGAAGUUCGCCGCCUGGGGAGUACGGUCGCAAGAUUAAAACUCAAAGGAAUUGACGGGGG
rnacentral:rRNA from 1 species